rnacentral:rRNA from 1 species
GUCGUAACAAGGUUUCCGUAGGUGAACCUGCGGAAGGAUCAUUAUUGAAUAAAUUUGGUUUAAAGGUUGUUGCUGGCUCGUUAAAAAGCAUGUGCACACUUUUUUUCCAAUUUUUAAUCCCCUGUGCACUGUUGUUAUAGAUCAUGAAAAAAUAUUGGAUGUUUGCUUAUAUGAACACCACUUGAGAAUUGCUAUAUAUUAUAUGUAUAGCUCUUCUUGUAUUUUCAGUUCUAUAAUUCUUUUACAAACACAAUAUAAUUGUAUCAGAAUAUGAAAUAAAGGGCUUUGUACCUUUAAAAUUAUAAUAUAACUUUCAACAACGGAUCUCUUGGCUCUCGCAUCGAUGAAGAACGCAGCGAAAUGCGAUAAGUAAUGUGAAUUGCAGAAUUCAGUGAAUCAUCGAAUCUUUGAACGCACCUUGCACUCCUUGGUAUUCUGAGGAGUAUGCCUGUUUGAGUGUCAUGAAAUUUMUCAAAUCCUUACUAGUGUUAUACUAGUUAGAUUUGGAUUAAUGGGAGUUGUGCUGAAUUGGUUGUAUAAAAAAAUCAGUUAGCUCUCCUUAAAUAUAUUAGCAUGAUUAUUGCUAGUCAUUAUUAGUAUGAUAAAUUAUAUUUAUACUAUUAGUGUCUGUAGUAAAUGCUUCUAACCGUCAUUUUUGACAAUACAUGACAAUUUUGACCUCAAAUCAGGUAGGAUUACCCCGCUGAACU